rnacentral:rRNA from 1 species
CUGCCAGUAGUCAUAUGCUUGUCUCAAAGAUAAGCCAUGCAUGUCUCAGUACAAGCCAAAUUAAGGUGAAACCGCGAAAGGCUCAUUAAAUCAGUUAUGGUUCCUUAGAUCGUACCCACAAUUACUUGGAUAACUGUGGUAAUUCUAGAGCUAAUACAUGCAAACAGAGCUCCGACCGGAGACGGAAGGAGUGCUUUAUUUAGAUCAAAACCAAUCGGUGGCGAGUUCGCUCGUCAUCGUACAACUUGGUGACUCUGAAUAACUUUACGCUGAUCGCACGGUCUCGCACCGGCGACGCAUCUUUCAAAUGUCUGCCUUAUCAACUGUCGAUGGUAGGUUCUGCGCCUACCAUGGUUGUAACGGGUAACGGGGAAUCAGGGUUCGAUUCCGGAGAGGGAGCCUGAGAAACGGCUACCACAUCCAAGGAAGGCAGCAGGCGCGCAAAUUACCCACUCCCGGCACGGGGAGGUAGUGACGAAAAAUAACGAUACGGGACUCAUCCGAGGCCCCGUAAUCGGAAUGAGUACACUCUAAACCCUUUAACGAGGAUCAAUUGGAGGGCAAGUCUGGUGCCAGCAGCCGCGGUAAUUCCAGCUCCAAUAGCGUAUAUUAAAGU